rnacentral:ncRNA from 1 species
UGACCUCGGAUCAGGUAGGGAUACCCGCUGAACUUAAGCAUAUCAAUAAGCGGAGGAAAAGAAACCAACAGGGAUUGCCUCAGUAACGGCGAGUGAAGCGGCAAAAGCUCAAAUUUGAAAUCUGGCUCCUUCGGGGCCCGAGUUGUAAUUUGCAGAGGAUGCUUCGGGCGUGGCCGCGGUCUAAGUCCCCUGGAACGGGGCGUCGCAGAGGGUGAGAAUCCCGUCUUCGGCCGGCCGGCUUCGCCCGUGUGAAGCUCCUUCGACGAGUCGAGUUGUUUGGGAAUGCAGCUCUAAAUGGGUGGUAAAUUUCAUCUAAAGCUAAAUAUUGGUCGGAGACCGAUAGCGCACAAGUAGAGUGAUCGAAAGAUGAAAAGCA